UUAGAGUAUGCGCACGCGUAAAAUGACGUCAUAAAUUCGUCUGUGGGAUUUUCCAAUAUUAUGUCAACAUGGAUUUUGAGGAAAAUAUAACAUAAAUACAAAACGUAUACAUUGUAUUUGUACAAUGUUUAAUCUCCAGCCAAUCCAGGCUUCAGGAGCAGGUUCAGUGUCAACCACUGGGUCAAGCGAUGAUGAGACAUCCAAGCUAAAGAAAAUGAAGCCCCAUGUACCUGGCAUUGUUAUAUUUGCCGAUCACAAUCGUCCUCUGCCAUGGUCUGUAACAUAUCACGCAGUGACUUUGUUUGCAGAUGUUUCAGGUUUCACCGCCUUGUGUGAAAAGUACAGUACUAUGGGGCAGUCUGGGGUGGAUCAGCUUACCAGAACACUGAACGAAUAUCUUAGCGUUCUUGUAGAAGGUAUCUUAGGUUCAGACGGAGACAUUCUCAAGUUUGCAGGUGAUGCUAUUCUCGCUAUAUGGAGGGUCGGUAGAGUCGAAGAGCUUCAAUCUGAAGUAGAAAAGGUAGUGAAGUGUUGUCUUACUAUGCAGGAUAUGUGUGGCGAGUGGGACACGGAUAUUGGUGUAAAGCUUACUGUCAAGAUAGGCGUUGCUGCUGGUGAAAUGGCUGUCACAUUUCUCGGAAAUCGUGAGUACAGACACUACGUUGAGCUGGGACCAGCCAUUUCUGCUGUAAACACUGCUGAACAUUUCUGUCAGUCUGGAAUGAUUGUUAUAUCUCCAGACACCUGGAAACACUGUGAUCAGGCAUUGUUUAAACUAGAGCCAAUGGAAGAUUUGAAACAUAUGCGGGUAAUUGGAAUUAAGCCAGCAAAACGGUCAAGAAGUUACAGUUUGCCAACACCGCAGCUACAUCCACAACUGCAACUGCAACUGCAAGAACGACGACAAUCUGAUGAGUUAACUGUUGACGAUAUGAAAACGUUUAGAAAGGGUCACUUGACAAGAAUGCUUUUACCUGCGAUUGAAUCAACAAUUCCAACAUCCGAAGGAAAGGAUACAGUUCCAUUGAUAGAGCUGACGGGGGUAGAAGAAAAUGAUCGUGAUGAAUCAAGUGACACUUCAAAACCACAGAAAAAUAUGAAAAAUGUAGUUCGAAAUAAAAUAAAUGUUGGAGCAAAAUUUGGAAAAUUAAAGAAACUUGUUACAACUGUAACAGAGAUGAAGCUGGAUAUAGCGUUAAGGUUAUACAUUCUAAAUCCUGUUCUUAAAAAGAUCGAUGACAAUCAACCUCUGGAAUACUUAUCUGAGAUGAGACAAGUUUCAAUUUUAUUCAUGAAUCUUGUGCUAGAUGAAACAGUGCAGAAAGAUACAGAAGCGAACGAACAGUUGUUACAGAAGAUAUUUGAACUUGUGUAUUUGAAGACAAAAGCGAUGCAUGGUGCAUUGAACAAAGUAUUUCUGUUUGACAAGGGGUGUACAUUCCUAGUGAUAUUUGGACUACCCGGGUACAAACAUGAAAAUGACUGCGCACAUGCUCUCGUCUGUUCUGGAAGAAUGAAAUGCCAGCUUGAUAAUACGGAAGGAGUCGAGAGAGUUUCAAUAGGCGUGACAACAGGAACGACCUUUUGUGGGGUAGUUGGACAUAACCAAAGGCACGAAUACUCCGUGAUUGGAAGAAAAGUUAAUAUGGCUGCAAGAUUGAUGAUGCAUUAUCCUGACAAAAUUACUUGUGACACUGAUACGUAUCAGUCCUGUCGAUUGCCGCCGUCAUUUUUUGAAGUUUUAAUGACAAAGCGAAUGAAAGGUCUGAGGAAUAUUGGAGUUAUAAGGCAGUUUGUCGGCUAUUCGAAGGAUGAGAAAAUGGUGGCGAAGAGUAUAAUGCAUACAGACUAUCCUAUUUUGGGUAGGCAAAUGGAGGACUUCAUAUUCCGUGAACAACUGAAGGUGAUCAGAAAAGAAGAGAACAAGAGACGUCAUUUAGUGCUCAGCGGACCAUCAGGAAUAGGCAAAACAAAAGUUCUUGAUCAAGCGCUUUUCAUCGCUGGACAGGAGACGUUCAACACCAUAUCGUGUCGUGUGGAGAUGGAAGAUAGCAGUUAUCCUCACUUUGUGUCAAACCAUGUCUUGCGAUGUAUGUUGAGUAACAAAGGUUAUUCCGACCAAAUCGACAAAGAACCUUACUUGAUUGAUGCCAUUGGAGAAGAUAGUGUGUAUUUGUAUGUUUUGAAUGAUGUUCUUGGAACACAGAUUGAAAAGCCUGUUUCGCUUGUUGGUGAGAAGGUCGACGAAAAAGCAAAACGGAAACUACUUUUUAGGAAAAUUGCAUUUGAGUGCCUAGAUACCGAAGGGACUGUAAUUGUCAUCGAUGAUGCACAUAAUAUCGACGCGUUUUCGUGGACAUUUUUGUGUGAGCUUUUACCUUUGAAAAAUUGCUUGAUAGUCCUGAGUGUUAGACCGACAAUUUUGGAUGUUCCUUCAUGCCCAGAGACUUUGUACUUCUUCCAACACUCGGAAGUUAAAGUUAUAGACUUGAGUGCACUUGAUCCGAAGUAUGUUGCUCCGCUUGCUUGUCAGAUGAUGAAUGUUUGCAGUAUACCAAAGGACUUAGAUAGUCUUUUACGAGAAAGGAGUCAUGGGGUUCCGUCAUGGUGCCUGGAAAUCUUGCGGGAUAUGCUUGAAAAGAAGCAGCUAAUAAUAGUACAUGAUGACGGACGAAAAGAGUUCAAACACUCUUUUAUUGCUCCAAACAAGUCAUUGAUUACAACAGCUGCAACAAUGCAUAUGUUGAGUGUACCCAGCGAUGCAAGAGUACAACAGCUUCAGAAUUUCGCUGUCACAGAAAUAGAAGAUGAUGAUAUACAGUCUUCAGACAAAGAUUUGUUAUCAGACCUUGGGUUUAAUACCGAACUCAAAGAAGGCUCGACUCUAAGACUUUCUUUGUCGGUGCCAUCAAAAGAGCUCAUAGGAUGUAAAAAAGACGGUUACAGCCAGUCAAGACAAAUUAGCAGAAUACAGAUGGAAAGAAUUGCAAUAUUUGCCAAGGGCAUUGACUCUAAUGACUUGCCUGUACCGGUUUCUAUGAAAGAAUUAAUUGUGGCGCGGAUCGAUUCGAUGAGGGCAACUGAUCAGCUAAUGAUAAAGUGUGCUGCAGUACUUGGUAAAGUUGUAAGAAGAGAUAUUCUUGAAAUUCUGCUGCCAAAAGCGCAUCGUCCUAAACUUGCUGGUACAAUACGUAGAUUGAUGGAAAGUGGGAUAUUCACGUGCUCUAAAACACCAACAUCUCAAGUGGCGGUAAAGAAAGGAACACGUGAUGACUAUCGAAGUCAGAAGUACAAAUGCUUUUGUUAUACAAGUGUUUCAGAAACAAGCACAGCUGACACAAAUGCUUGUUAUGAGCCCAUGUUUACGCAUCAGCUAUUACAGGAAACUGCAUACGAAGUUUUGAUGGAAUCACAACGAAAUGAAUUACACACGAAAGCAGCGCAGUAUCUAGAACUUUCAGCAGAUGAACUUAGGGCACACAUCCCUCACUAUUUGCUGUUUAGACCACCAGCCGAUGAUCUUGAAGAGCAAGCGAAGCUUAUUGAACUAAAACUUGCUGAUGUCGAUGCUGUUAUAUCUGUACGAAGAAAAAGCCUCGAGACUGAAGAGGCAGAAAAUAAAAAAGCUGUUUUUGAUGCUGUUGAAUCAAAUUCAAAACGUGGGCGUAGACAGGCAGUUUUCGUAUCAUCAAACGAAGCUUUCCAGCUAAUUGAUGAAAUCGCUGAAGGUGGUAAACCGCUGGAGCCAACGUGUGUUUAUGUUCUGAAAUUAUUGCCCAUCUAUACAUCACUAGUUCAUCAUUGGAGAUGUAUCAGCAAAACAAAAGAUGCUCUUUCAACACUUGCCGAAGCAGUCGCUGCCUCCCUGGUCAUUGAUCGUCAAGAACAGGCAUUAGAAUUUGUUCAUAUUGCUCUUGAUAUGCUUGAUGAGAUUCAGAAGAGAUCACCACACCUAGACAAAAAUCAGAAAUUGAUUUUCGCAAGAAUCAAUAGGCUUCACGGACAGAUUCUAUAUCAUAAGGGUGAUGUAAAAGAUGCAUACAGACUUAUGCCGGUAGCUGCAUCUUACCUUGGGCUCAAAGAAUCGAAGCAACCGACAUCUUCACCAGUUCGAAAUCUCUGGCUUAUCAUCAAAUUCUUCUGGUGCUGGAGGUUUCGCACACACAACAGUGAGUCUCUCGAUGUCUCUGUUCUCGAACAAGGCUACCUGUUUACUGAAUUGUUCCAAAUGGAUAAAGAACAAGGGCACUCAAAUUCGAAGAUAGCGCAUGCUGUAAAACUGUUCACAACAAUAACUUCUGGAAGAGCGCACAUACAUCAGGUAGUUGCAGCCUAUUCAGCGAUGAUAGAGUGCUGUCGAGAAAAAGGAUGGAAACCAACUUGUGAAGGACUACAGUGGGAUCUUCUAAGAAUAUGCGCGAAAAGAAACGACGAACUUUCAACAUACGACAGAACUAUACUUUGUGAGAUCUAUGGAACUAGUUGCAUUGAGAACUUCUUGCACGGACACUUGGAGAAGGCCAAGGUAAAGCAGCAGCAGACAUUUGCACCUGUGUUCGAGAUGUUAACACCACGAAGACAUUUUGCGCCUACUACUUUUUCCUGUGUUUGUUCAGGAAUGUGUAUCAAGAAAGCAUUGAGCUGUUGGAGAUAAUGAGAAGCAAUGCUCAGUUGCUGCCGGAUGGUGUUGAUAUCCGGGCGUUGUACCAGGUUACCUGCGUAGAAAUUGCUUUAACUGGAGGCAACCCCCCUGAAAAAAUACAGGCUUGUAUUUCAUGUCUCAGAAACUAUCUGCAUGACAGUAACGGGAAGGUUCAAAGUUCUUCACUAAAAUAUUAUUUUGGGAUGACAGUUGCACUUUG
rnacentral:misc_RNA from 1 species